CGAAUCCUGAAGUGUUUGUUUUUUAGUUGUUAAUCUAUGUUUUGACCGAACAUUAAAUGAAUGGGAGCCUUUAUUUCACUUACGGCAAACAUGCCCCCCUACCGUAGCGGGACGUUUAAUGUAGUGAAGCGGGCACCCACCUGCUAGAGAGCGGGUUCAAAACUUUAACAAUAUAACGGCAUAUUCGGGAUUCGU
rnacentral:other from 1 species